rnacentral:rRNA from 1 species
UACCAGCACCCCGAGUGGUCGGGACGUUAUUGGGCCUAAAGCAUCCGUAGCCGGUCCUACAAGUCUUCCGUUAAAUCCACCUGCUUAACAGAUGGGCUGCGGAAGAUACUAUAGGGCUAGGAGGCGGGAGAGGCAAGCGGUACUCAGUGGGUAGGGGUAAAAUCCUCUGAUCCAUUGAAGACCACCAGUGGCGAAGGCGGCUUGCCAGAACGCGCUCGACGGUGAGGGAUGAAAGCUGGGGGAGCAAACCGG